UACAGGGGGGGCAAGCGUUGUUCGGAAUUACUGGGCGUAAAGGGCUCGUAGGCGGCCAACUAAGUCCGACGUGAAAUCCCAAAGCUUAACUUUGGAACUGUGUCGGAUACUGGAUGGCUUGAAUUCGGGAGAGGGAUGCAGAAUUCCAGGUGUAGCGGUGAAAUGCGUAGAUAUCUGGAGGAAUACCGGUGGCGAAGGCGGCAUCCUGGACCGACAUUGACGCUGAGGAGCGAAAGCUAGGGGAGCAAACGGG
rnacentral:rRNA from 1 species